rnacentral:rRNA from 1 species
CUACGGGCGGCAGCAGUGAGGAAUAUUGCACAAUGGGGGGAACCCUGAUGCAGCAACGCCGCGUGGAGGAUGACGCAUUUCGGUGUGUAAACUCCUUUUAUAUGUCAAGAAAAUGACGGUAGCAUAUGAAUAAGCACCGGCUAACUCCGUGCCAGCAGCCGCGGUAAUACGGAGGGUGCAAGCGUUACUCGGAAUCACUGGGCGUAAAGGACGCGUAGGCGGGUUGGAAAGUCAGGUGUGAAAUCCUACAGCUUAACUGUAGAACUGCACUUGAAACUUCUAAUCUAGAGUAUGGGAGGGGGAGAUGGAAUUAGUGGUGUAGGGGUAAAAUCCGUAGAUAUCACUAGGAAUACCUAAAGCGAAGGCGAUCUCCUGGAACAUAACUGACGCUAAGGCGUGAAAGCGUGGGGAGCAAACAGGAUUAGAUACCCCAGUGUC